ACACACAAUAUGUAUAUGCAAAACAAAACAGGCCCAAAAUGGAGUUCCUUAUGCUAAACCCCAUGUCUCCAUCCAAGACUUAAUGAAAGUUUCAGCCCUUCCAGAAAUGGAAUCCUACACCAGUCAAUCAGGAGUCGCCUGGUCAGCACGAGCUCCUCAGAGCUCCUUGCUGUCUGCUCGGUGGGAUGCUGCGUGAUUCAUAAAUCGUUGAAUAAAGUGGAUGAGCCAAGAAGACAGAAAAAACUGUUUGUGGAGAAGAACCAGUCACACAAGGGUGGAUGUAGAUUUUUAAAUAACUGAAAAUUGCAGCAAAAAAUCUUCAUUAAGAUUUUCAUCACCUCAAUUUUACAAAGACUUACCAUAGUUUCAGCAAGAAAGCCCAAAUGUAAAAGAAGGUAGAUUAUUUAAAAUAGGUUUCUUUUAGGUAAUUACCUGGAGGGAACAACAACAUGGAAAGACUAUUUGGCUCAAAAGAGUUGAAAUGUUAGAAAACUCAGUACGUGCAGUAAUUGGU